rnacentral:rRNA from 1 species
GGGAGGUUUGGCACCUCGAUGUCGGUUCGUCACAUCCUGGGGCUGGAGAAGGUCCCAAGGGUUCGGCUGUUCGCCGAUUAAAGUGGCACGUGAACUGGGUUCAGAACGUCGCAAGACAGUUCGGUCCCUAUCUGUGGUGGGCGCAAGUAAAUUGAGAGGACAUGACCUUAGUACGAGAGGACCGGGUCGUACGUACCGCUGGUGUAUCAGUUGUGCCGCCAGGUGCAAUGCUGAGUAGCUAUGUACGGACAGGAUAAACGCUGAAAGCAUCUAAGCGUGAAACCUUCCUCAAGAUGAGUUUACUUUUAAGGGCCGUCAAAGACUAUGACGUCGAUAGGCUACAGGUGUAAAGGUGGUGACACCAAAGCCGAGUAGUACUAAUUGCCCGUAAGCUUUAAUUUUUU